GGACCAAGGAGUCUAGCAUGUGCGCGAGUCAUUGGGAUUUUUACUAAACCUAAAGGCGCAAUGAAAGUGAAGGUCCGCCUUGCGCGGACCGAGGGAGGAUGGACCGUUCCGAGGAACGACCUCGCACUCCCGGGGCGUCUCGCUCUCAUCGCGAGAAGAGGCGCACCCAGAGCGUACACGCUGGGACCCGAAAGAUGGUGAACUAUGCCUGGUCAGGACGAAGUCAGGGGAAACCCUGAUGGAGGUCCGUAGCGAUUCUGACGUGCAAAUCGAUCGUCGGAACUGGGUAUAGGGGCGAAAGACUAAUCGAACCAUCUAGUAGCUGGUUCCCUCCGAAGUUUCCCUCAGGAUAGCUGGCGCUCGCUUCUCGCGAGUCUCAUUCGGUAAAGCGAAUGAUUAGAGGCAUUGGGGUCGAAACGGCCUCAACCUAUUCUCAAACUUUAAAUGGGUGAGAUCUCCGGCUUGCUUGAACUGUGAAGCCGCGAGAUAUCGGAUCAGAGUGCCAAGUGGGCCACUUUUGGUAAGCAGAACUGGCGCUGUGGGAUGAACCAAACGCAGAGUUAAAGCGCCUAAAUCGACGCUUAUGGGAUACCAUGAAAGGCGUUGGUAACUUAAGACAGCAGGACGGUGGCCAUGGAAGUCGGA
rnacentral:rRNA from 2 species